GGGAAGAAUCAUGGGAAAGAGAGACGGGGUUCCACCGUGUUAGCCAGGAUGGUCUCGAUUUCCUGACCUCGUCAUCCUCCCGCCUUGGCCUCCCAAAGUGCUGGGAUUACAGGCUUGAGCCACCGCGCCCCGCUCUUUCGUGUUCCAAAGGCUUUUUAAAUAAACUUCCACUCCUGUCCUGGAUUCUGCUUUAUGGCCCUCAGUCGAAUUCUUUCUUCUGAGGAGGCAAGGACUGAAGUUGCUUCUGACCAGUACAGGUACGCCGCAGGAGAAAACGAAUACAGCAGGGAUGACUUCCACCAGCUCCACUUUGCAGCUCUGAGGUGUAUUAAAAAUGACCUGGAAGAAGUCAUGCCACGGGCCAGACCUUAACAUUCCUUUCGGCUUACCCCAGGAUUUCAGACAAAGCUUCACUUUCCUAACCAGUCACAAAUCAGAGAAUUUUUGAUUCCACCUAUGACCUGUGAGCUCCUGCUUCAAGAUAUUCCACCUUUUUUAGGCCAAACCAAUGUAUAACCUCCAAGUGUCGAUUUACACUUUCGACUGUAACUUCUGCUUUCCUGAGAUUUACCCCUGCCUUUAAAAACCCUUGCUUGUAAUCCCUCAGGGAGGCCGUGUAUUUAUUAAUCAUGAGCUGCCCAAUUCUCCUUGCUUGGUGCCCUGCAAAUAAACACCCUCUUUUCUCCCACUGCAAAA
rnacentral:lncRNA from 1 species